UGCCUUCACUUCACAGUUCCUUUGCUGUGUGGCUGGUCCCUUGAGAUAUUAGGUGGGAUCCAUUUAGUGGAUCCCACUCUUGUGAUACUUGGUGGUGGUGCUGCCUGAGGCCCUGUGGGGGGAAAGGGA
rnacentral:pre_miRNA from 1 species